CCACAGGCAACAAAAACAGACAAAUGGGAUGAUAUCAAACUAAAAAGAUUAUACACAACAAAGGAAACAAUAAACAAAGUGAAGAGACAACCUAUAGAAUGGGAGAAGACAUGUGUGAACUAGUCAUACAACAAAGGACUAACAUCCAGAAUAUACAAGGAACUCAAACAACUCAAUAGCAAAUAAACAAAUGAUCUGAUUAAAAAGUGAACAAAGGAACCAAGCAGACAUUUCUCAAAAGAAGACAUAUGUGAGGGCGAUGUGGCUGUGAUAUCUGUCACCCCAUUGAUCACCAGGGUUGAUUCGGCUGAUCUGGCUGGCUAGGCAGGUGUCCCCUUCUUCCCUCACCGUUCCAUGUGUGUCCCUCCCCAAAGCUGCGUGCUGGGUCAAAGAGGAUAGCCAACCCUGAUAGAGGAGGAUGGGUUAUUGGUCUAGGAUACAAGUAGCUGCACUCCCCUGCUUGAACCUCCAAACCUCUCAGGAAGACAUACAAAUAGUCAACAAAUAUAUGAAAAAUCAUCAUCAGGGAAACGUACAUCAAAGCCACAAUGAGAUGUCAUCUCACCCCAGUUAGAAUGGCUAUUAUCAAAAAGACAAAAAAUAACAAUGCUGGUGAGGAUGCAGAGAAAAGAGAACUCCUAUACACUGUUGGUGAAAAUAUAAAUUAAUACAGCGAUUAUGGAAAACAGCAUAGAAAUUUCUCUAAAAACAGAACUAUCAUAUGAUCCAGC
rnacentral:lncRNA from 10 species